AUUGGAGACAUAGGACAAGAUACAGAAAUGAGAUUGUGAUCGGAGGAGCCCAACGGAAAUGAAAGGGUGACAGCAUAAGCAGAAGGGUUAGAGGUGAGGAAGAGAUCAAGAAACAGCCUUUAAGCCAUUUGCAUAAUGCAAAAUAGAUUAUGAAUUCACUAGUGUUUUUAAGCAUUUUCAUGCAUCAUGUCAUUACAGUAGGAUGUACUGUGAGCCACUGUUGUACUUUGUGCAAGGGUGCUCCAAGCUAGAAUUUGUGAUUCUGUUAUGAGAAAACAGCCUAGAGAAAGAAAUGUAUGAAUUCAAAAGUGGAUAGGCAGGAGGCAGACUCAGAGGGCCUCAGAUAAUAUCCUGAAGGAACUGGCAUUGGAGGAUCCAACUACAUACCUCAGAGUACUGAGGCUGAUGUGCAAAAACUUUGAAGACCUGUAGAUGAAGAUACAUCCUUUUAUACAAAACAAGGACACAGUGGCCUGUUGUUCCAUUCUGGCCCAAACUACUACAGAAAUGCUAGAUGCCAGCGGUAAAGUUGAACAUGUUUAACUUUAUUGCAGUGUCAAACAGGCACUGUGAAUUCAUAAUUUGUCACUAGUGAAUUAAAGAUAGUGAGUCUUUAGACAUUUUAACCAAUGAAUUCACUAGUGAAUUAAGAAGCUUGUCCAAAGCAAAUAAAAGCAGUGCGUUGUAAACAAUGCUUAAGGCUUGUUUACAUGAUGUUGCUUUUAUUUGCUUAAGACAAGCUUCUUAAUUUGUUUGCAAAUUCACUGGUUAAAGUGUCUAACGACGUGGAGUCUUUUAUUUACUAGCAACUAAAAUUAUGAAUUCGAAGUGUCUGCUUGAUGCUGCAUUAAAAGUUCAGCAUGUUCAGUUUUACCACUCACAUCUAACAAAUAGAUGGCAAGUUGCAACAAUAGCAGUGUGUUAGGGUAUACAGUAUGUGCUUUACUGCUGGGUGUAUUGUCCAGUUUUCUUUUCAUAAUGACACCAAAAUUAACCAAACUGAAAGAAAAUUAAAUAUCCUCCAUCCUCUAGAUUAUGGGAAACUAUCCCAUCAUGUGGAACAUAAAUUGAAAGACUAUUCAAAUAAGUCAGUGUGAGAUGAACAAAUAUCUCAAAUGCUCAUCAAAAUUGUAGACAAUAAUCUGAAGAUGGACAAAAAAGAUUUCAAGUGAUAAAUUAUGUUUAUAUUGAAGAUCGUAAGUUUUAGCUUGUAGCGUCUUUGCACAAAAGACAACAGCGGCUCACAGCACAUGCUCUUAAGAUGAAAUGACACCUAAGACUGCUUGAAAAUGCAACUAAAUUCAUUAGUUUUACCACCAUCAUGUAGACAGUUUACAGCUUUGCUUCUUUAUCAGCUUGAAAUUUCCUGUUGAAGGGUGAUAACUUGGUGACAAAAGAAGCUACGGUCUAGCAUCAAAACCUGCACCAAGUAAAUCAGCCUUUAACUACACACCACUUAGAUUUUGUGGUGAUGAACGAGAUAUUUGAUUGAGGGUAGCAAAAAUUUUAGCUAGUGCUUCAUCUCCAGAGCUGUGAAUCUGAUGGAGUUGUUGUUUUUCAUCUUGCUUCUUGGUUGCAGUUGACCAUCUCUCAAGGCAUAUUUCACGAUCCUCAUUAGCAAGCAAAGUGAGUUGGUGCAGUUCCUCAACAAUUGGGUGAGAGGUGCCCAAUCCUGUUUUGAGGGACAAUUCUGCUUCUUCCAGUAGAUGAAGGCCCUCUCGAAACUCCUUCAGAUAAAUCUUUGCCUUUCCCAAGUUGAAGAGGAAGAGGGAGAAUACCGGACUGUUGUCACUGUAGUAGAACCUGUAGGAAGGUCAUUCUUGGUACUCAAAGCUUGUACUACAGUGCUAUGUCUACUUACAAUUAUGAUCUUCACUGAAUGUUGAUUGUAUAUAGCAUACAACAUAUUAUAUAAUUUAUUUAUAAGUUGAAUAGACACUGAUUCUUUGAUGAAAGGUUCUUUAGAGCUUAGUAGAUUAAAUUGUUCCAAACAUACUUCAUAUCUCUAUCUUUAAUUUAUCACAAAAAAUAUUGUCUGCCAUUACUUGCUCAUGUGAUGCUUGAUAUGAUAGGGAAGUGACAUCUGGCUUGUGAAGACUCUGUAAUUACUCCCCCAAAAUCAUAAAACUUAUGGAUUCAAUCAAUAAAAGAAAAUUAUCACA
rnacentral:lncRNA from 1 species